GUGAUUGGUCAGCAUGUAGGCUGGCAAGAACUGUUAGAAGAUAAAAGGCAGUUGGAAGGUGGCAGUUGGUCUGAGGAAAGUGUGAGAACAGCUCUGGCGGCCAUCUUGUGAGGUGGAGAUAUCAGGGCCGAGUGAAGACACUACAAGAUUAAUACAGGAGUCAGAGUAGAAACCUUUACAGUGACUUCCAGCAAAGCCACUGGGGUGUCAGUGGGAAGCAGAGCUGAGAGACAAGAAACAGGGUUCAGAGUUCAGCACUGCCACUGCAUUUGGAGGAAGAGUCUAACCCUGAGGAGCAGAACAUUUAGGUGACUAAGGAGAACUUAAAAGGCAGAACUUCAAUAAGAACAGUGCACUAAGCAGCCCACGAUUACCUCAUGCCCUUUCUAUCAGCAAGAAGAGAGAAAAGAAAAAAAAUUGUUUGCUGAAAUCUAACGUCUGCAGGUCUGCGGAAAAUAUAAACCACCCGAUGGUCUCAUCUGAAACUUGUCUAAAGUGUCACACUGUCCCAUAACAGGGUGCUGCAUAUCAAAGGCUUCCUGCUGAACCCAGGGCAAAGCAUCACAACAUCAAAGGAGAAAUAAAAUAAUGUCAGAGCAUUACUUUGUAGUACAUCUGGUGCGUUUCCUCAGUGUUACACUGGGCUGGCACCAGUCACUAUCAGACACCAGACAUGUAGCUUGCACAGUCUUUAUUGUCUGAGGUCACAUAUUGUUAAUAAACUUUGUAGCAUUGGGUAU